rnacentral:rRNA from 1 species
UACGGGGGGUGCGAGCGUUGUCCGGAAUCACUGGGCGUAAAGGGCGCGUAGGUGGUUUGAUAAGGGUGUGGUGAAAGCCCGGGGCUCAACCCCGGGUCUGCCGUGCCGACUGUCAAACUCGAGGGCUGUAGAGGCAGACGGAAUUCCGGGUGUAGCGGUGGAAUGCGUAGAGAUCCGGAGGAAGACCGGUGGCGAAGGCGAGUCUCUGGACGACUCCUGACACUGAGGCACGAAAGCUAGGGGAGCAAACAGG